CCUCUUUUGUUUUUAUCCAGCGUCUGCUUCCUCUCUCUCUCUCUCUCUCUCUCUCCCCGUCUUCCUCCUUCCUCUACCCCUUCCUCCCGCUCUCUGCCUCCCUGCAGCGCCAAGCCGGCUCCCCAGCCUAGUCUGCCGAACGCAAACCACUGAGAGUUUGCCGAGCCUCCCCCGGGGGCGCGGGCCGCCCAGUCCCGCUCCGGCACGGUCGCCAGCCGGCGAGGGAGCGCCGCCGAAGGAAAACAAGCGGGCGCGCGAGGGGAGCCCCGGAGAGGGUGGCUGGGCGGCGGCGGGCCGCCGAGUUCGAAUCCGGGCGGCCGCGCCGCCAGCCCCCGCGCCCCCUCCGCCCGCGCGGCGCUCCGGGGGACGAGCUGGCUCCGCUCGCGGCUCGAGCGGCGAGCGUUUCCUAACGUGAGAGGCCGGGCCCCGCGGGCGAGGGCCGGGGAGCCGGGCCAGCGGGCGGCGAGGCGCCGGGGCAGCGCGGAAGCAGCGGGUCCCAUGCCGGCGGCCAACAUGAUGGAGAGUCUGCAGCCGCCCGCCUUGCAGGUGCCCGAGCCGCGGGGCGCGCCAGAGGGCAGCCCGGUCUGGUCCAGCUCGUCGACCCCCACGCUUCGCCGCCGGCGCUUCAAAAUGCGCCGCACCAAGAACGUGCAGGAGCCGAGCCUGGAGGCCGGCCUGAGCGGGGACCUGCCCGGCGUCUUGGCGCCCGGCAAGGAGUUCCUGCAGCUGCCAUCCAUCGAGAUCACGCCCUCCAGCGACGAGGACACCCCGUGGUCCAAUUGCUCCACGCCCAGCGCUUCCCCGCGCCGCAAACGCUUCCUCCUGCGCAAGUGGCUGCGGGUGAGGGAGCGGAAGGAGUGCAGCGAAAGCAGCAGCCAGCAGAGCAGCCAGCAGAGCAGCCAGCAGAGCAGCCAUGACGAUGACUCCAGCAGGUUCCUGAGUCCUCACGUGCGGGAAGAAAGCACUGCCAGUAACUCCAACCGCAGCACACCAGCCUGCUCCCCCAUCCUCCGAAAGCGGUCUCGCUCACCAACCCCGCAGAACGUAGACGGAGACACCAUGGUGGAGAAGGGCUCAGAUCACUCCUCGGACAAGUCGCCGUCCACUCCGGAGCAGGGCGUGCAGCGCAGCUGCUCCUCACAGUCCGGCCGCAGUGGUGGCAAAAACUCCAAGAAAAGCCAGAGCUGGUAUAAUGUGUUAAGCCCCACAUACAAGCAGAGAAAUGAAGACUUCAGAAAGCUCUUUAAGCAACUUCCAGACACGGAGCGCCUCAUUGUUGAUUACUCCUGUGCACUCCAAAGAGACAUUCUUCUUCAGGGCCGACUCUACCUCUCCGAAAACUGGAUCUGCUUCUACAGCAACAUCUUCCGCUGGGAAACUCUGCUAACUGUGCGUUUGAAAGACAUCUGCUCCAUGACUAAAGAAAAGACAGCUCGCCUCAUCCCCAAUGCCAUCCAAGUUUGCACUGACUCAGAAAAGCACUUUUUCACUUCGUUCGGGGCCCGGGAUAGGACGUACAUGAUGAUGUUCCGGCUCUGGCAGAAUGCUCUCCUGGAAAAGCCACUGUGCCCCAAGGAGCUGUGGCACUUUGUCCACCAGUGCUACGGGAACGAGCUGGGCCUGACCAGUGACGACGAGGACUACGUGCCCCCCGAUGACGACUUCAACACGAUGGGCUACUGUGAGGAGAUCCCCGUAGAGGAGAAUGAAGUGAACGACAGCUCGUCCAAAAGCAGCAUAGAGACCAAGCCGGAUGCCAGUCCGCAGCUGCCCAAGAAAUCCAUCACCAACAGCACGCUGACGUCCACGGGGAGCAGUGAAGCACCCGUCUCGUUUGACGGCCUGCCCCUGGAGGAGGAGGUGCUAGAGGGCGACGGGUCUCUGGAGAAGGAGCUCGCCAUCGACAACAUCAUCGGGGAGAAGAUUGAGAUCAUCGCACCCGUGAACUCCCCUUCGCUGGACUUCAACGACAACGAGGACCUCCCCACUGAGCUCAGUGACUCUUCAGACACCCACGACGAAGGGGAGGUCCAGGCCUUCUACGAGGACUUGAGUGGCCGGCAGUACGUGAACGAAGUCUUCAACUUCAGCGUGGACAAGCUCUAUGACCUCCUGUUCACCGACUCACCCUUCCAGCGGGACUUUAUGGAGCAGCGACGCUUCUCAGAUAUCAUCUUCCAUCCGUGGAAGAAGGAGGAGAAUGGAAACCAGAGCCGAGUGAUCCUUUACACCAUCACCCUUACCAACCCUCUGGCUCCCAAAACUGCCACCGUCAGGGAGACACAGACCAUGUACAAGGCGAGCCAGGAGAGUGAGUGCUAUGUGAUCGACGCCGAGGUCCUCACGCACGACGUGCCGUAUCACGACUACUUCUACACCAUCAACCGCUACACGCUCACCCGCGUGGCCCGCAACAAGAGUCGACUCAGGGUCUCCACGGAGCUGCGCUAUCGGAAACAGCCCUGGGGGCUGGUGAAAACGUUCAUCGAGAAGAACUUCUGGAGUGGGCUGGAGGACUAUUUCCGCCACCUGGAGAGUGAGCUGACCAAAACAGAGAGCACCUACCUGGCGGAGAUGCACAGACAGUCUCCUAAAGAGAAGGCCAGCAAGCCCCCGACGGUGCGGAGGAGAAAACGGCCCCAUGCCCACCUGCGGGUGCCACACCUGGAGGAGGUGAUGAGCCCCGUCACCACGCCCACUGAUGAGGACGUGGGCCACAGGAUCAAACAUGUGGCAGGUUCCACGCAGACGCGGCACAUCCCCGAGGACAGCCCCAGCGGUUUCCACCUGCAGAGCGUGUCCAAGCUGCUACUGGUUAUCAGCUGUGUUCUGGUGCUGCUGGUCAUCCUCAACGUGAUGCUCUUCUACAAACUCUGGAUGCUGGAGUACACCACCCAGACCCUCACUGCCUGGCAGGGUCUCCGGCUCCAGGAAAGGUUACCCCAGUCCCAGACAGAGUGGGCCCAGCUCUUAGAGUCCCAGCAAAAGUACCACGAUACUGAGCUCCAGAAAUGGAGGGAGAUCAUCAAAUCCUCAGUGAUGCUUCUUGACCAGGCCAGCUUGAGUGAGCUGUUGGAAACACCCGGGUUCCCCAAAGUUACGUCAGUGAAAUAACACAGUGGAUUUGCAAGAGGAAAAAACUAUAGAUUAGAUGGAAGGAGAGCUAUUUUUUUUCUCUUGAUGAAGGACUCACUCAUCAAUCUUCAGAAUGGCAUCAGGUCCCGAGACUACACGUCAGAAAGCGAAGAGAAGAGGAACCGGUACCACUGACAAGGCAGGAGCUGGGGUGGCUGCAGGAGGCCUGUGCAAUACAUGUACAGAGACCAUAUAAAUAUAUAUAUAAAUAUAUAUAUAUACAGAUAUAAAUAUAUAUAUUAUAUACAGAUUUUAAAAAGAGCUAAUGCCUAUGUACCAGGGAGAAGGAGCAGGGCCGCCCCCUGCGCUGGCCGGCGGAGCGCCGAGGAGGGCAGGGACCGCCUCUCAGCACCGACCUCCCCCGACCCUCCUGCUCCCCAUCCUGUCGUCCCCACCCUUUUCCUUGCUGACCACUCUCGGCUCUGAGAAGGGAGAUGUCGAGCCAAAGUUAUGCCUGUGAAGACCCUGGGGUCGCGAGAAGAGGUCUCAAGGGGGGCAUUGCUUAAGGUGCUUCAUUCCCGAAUCCCCUUUUGGUUUGUUUCCAAAACAGAAGAGAAUCUUUUCUUCCCUACCCCACGCUUCCCCCAAGAUGUUCUCUUGGGAAAGAGGAAGCGUCCAGGGCAGGAGCCCGAUCUAAGCUCCACUGUACAAGGCCGCCCCAUGUGCGUGGACCGCGCACCACGAGUCCCUUGAAGGGGUCCCGCAGGCCGUCUGGGCAGGCGUCUCUGAAGGGUUUGGGCUUCGUGGCUGCAGGCUCCUAAGGGCUGGUGUUCUGAUGAAGGGCAUCCUCCUCCAUUACCCCCUGCACCUUCCUCUAACCUGCGUGGGGUGUGGACCCAGUAAGGGUGGGGGUUCCUUCCUUUCCCACCCCACCCCCUUCUCUCUGGUCUUUUCCCAGGCUGGAUCUGGGUGAAGUGUCACUUUUUAGUGCCUAAAGCCCUAUUUUUCCUCUGUGCCCUAAGAGCACAUUGUUUAUUAGUCAGGGUGGAGCGUUUUUGAUCUUGUAAACUUCUCUUUCAGUGAUUGUAAGCAAGUCAGGUCUGUGGCUCUAACCCCUUCCCUUUGAGCUGUCUUUUGAUUUCUAGGGUGAAUCAGGGUGUUCUAGGACCUCCAGGGUUUGAGAAGGUGAAUGUAUUAGCCAUGGACGGAAUGGAGGGUCUCACCACAGAGCUCCUCUUUGAGUAGUGAGCACCAACAUCCACGCACUUUCUGGCUGCCAGCAUCAUUUCCUCUCGUUGAGGAACCUACUUAGUCAAGGGAGAUGACUAUCUGAGAUACUUUGCCCAUGAAAGAAGACCUAAGCCUUGGAAGGAAUGAAUUUGGCCCCAGUGUAUGGGUUUGGGCAGGAAAAAGCCAAUCAAGUCUGCCCCACUGGGGGCUGUUCCAGACCCUGUUUAUCUGAGUUAGGAAUGGAAGUUCUAGCAGGAGGAGCAAAGCCUUCCCUGGCCUCUGGCCCCAGAGAGGUACGAGAUCACUAAGGAAUAGGAAGAAGGCCAUGGGUUAGGAAAGUGAGUUGUUGAGGGCCUUUGGGAACUGGCUUACAGAACCCGUGAUUCUUCUGACCUCAUGGGGCCCUGCUGCACGUGCUUAGCAUCCUUCACACUAACUGCUGUUUCUUCCUGUGAUGACCCAAGGAAUCCUGCCAGCCCCAGGCAGGGCUUGUAGAGAUUCUUAUCAGGAAGGGAUUAUACCAAUUUGGCAAGGAGAGCUCUUCCAGAUUUCUUGUUCUAGCAGACCUCUUAAUGGAACAGGCAGAGGGAAGGGAAAGUUGAUCACUCACCUAGCCAAAAAGAAGAGCUAUAUUAUAUUCUCGUAGACUGGCCUGAGCAUCCCACUUUGGCAAUUAAAAAAAGGUUUUUAACUUUUCAUUCUGUCUGAAAAAGAGGUUCUUGUUAUUGCCCUAAGGGUAGGAAGAGAAGACAGAAAGAUGCUGCAACUAGGUAGGAUGAGAAGGUUCCAUGAGGGUCAUCUGGAACUGAUAGCCCUCAUUUAGAAAAGGAGAUAUGAGGAAAUGGAGUUGCAUGGAAUCCUUGUGAAGGGUGCAUGUGCCCACAGGCCAGCCCGUCAAGAUCAGCCCUGACCAGGACUUUGAAUGGGAGACCCUGAUGAGCAUCAAAGCUUACAGGACCCAAGCAGCAGAGUGCAGGCUGCUAAGAACUUUCUUGUUGGAGUAGCUAGAAGUCAAAAGUAUUCUCAGAAACUUUUGAAAGGACAAAUGGUAAAUUCUCUAAUUUAUGCCAUGCAUAUUUAUUUAUUUAAAUUAUUCAGUUAUUAAAAGUAGUGUAUUGGGACCUUCAGGGUGACUUGAAAAGGGCUAUUUGCUGGCAAUAAAGUGGUGGAAGUAGGCCUGACUCUGUGGGAUUGUUUUACUUUGGCUUCAGCUCACAGGCCCCUCUCAGGCAGAAGCAGUGACAGGGAACUCUGCAAGGAACCCUCUGGAUUUCUGGGGGUUUGGGCAGGAGACAGUGUGUACACAUGAGAAGCAUCUCUUGGCUUGCCUCAUUUCUAAGAAUCUUGGAUCAUUUAUAGGCCUUUUCUCAAACCAGGAGAAAACCAACACCUCUGUUCACUCCCAGACAAAAGCUGUUCCCUUUUACUCGGUAACCUGUCAAAGAGAAGGGACCUCACUCUUGCAGAUCAGUCUGGGAGUGAAACAUGUAAAUGACAUGGUAACUUGUGGCUGGCAGCCUGGCUUGUAAGGGAGUGUUAAAACUGCCAUUUCUGAUGUUAUUUCUCCUCGCCAGGGCUUUUUUUUCCCUUUCCUACAUAAGAACUCAGUCAUACAGGAGUCUUUCUGCAUCAUGUAGUGAGACAUGUGAGUGUUUGCACUUUCUGCAAAAGGUUUUGCAGUUUCUAGACAGGUGAGAACAAUAGUAAGGUUUGCAGUCCACUCCCACUGACUGGGGGGGGAAUUGACGAGGCUGGUGUUGGCAAGGCCAACCAUGUCUGUGACUCUCUGCUGCCCCGUCCCCAUCCUGGGACAAAGGGGUAGCUUUGCAGCACAGUAGGAUCAGCAGUUUGGAGCUCUUGGUAACGGCACUGGUCUGAGAGGGCCAGGAGACCUGGGCCUGAGUCCUGGCCCCGCCUUUGGACAAGUCACACACACAUACACACCCGCCCUCUAAGCUUCAGGGCCUGACCUAGACUAUCCUAAGGUCAGCUCUAGCUUUCACAUGGUCUUGGAGGCUGGGUCAGAGCCUGGCCAGGCUGGGCUUUCUCAAACUUGGAAGGCGCCCUGCCAAGAGAGGACAGGCCUUCUGGACAAGAGCUUCUCUGCUGUUUAGAUGAGUUGUAGGGUAGUGUCAGGGUUCCCGGGGAAUCCAGGGUAGUAAAAUUUUAUUCUAAGGGCUAAGAGGACUAGGGAGGUCCAAUGAAUGGGUGGGAGAGGGAGAUGAGAAAGAGAGAUCAAGCUUGCUGUGUUGUCCAGUGUUAACCUGGGAGGAUGUUUCUUCCUCUGUUGGCCUAGUCUUAGUUUCGAAGAGUUCCUUCCUUGGAACUUUUGUAAGCUGGGAAGAGGAGGAGGGUGGGAAGAAGGACAUCAUCUUGAACUAACCUUGUCUUCCAUCCCUGGGCUGUGAAGCCUUUCAUCUGUCCAUCCUUCUUUCUCUUUGCUAGAGCAAAAGGUGGGGAGAAGUCAUUCCUGAUUCAACCACCUCUCUUUUGUCUCUAACCUCACUGGGGUUUGGAUUAAGUAUGGAGCUUUGGCUAAAAUCCUUGGGUUGCCUUAGAACGCUGACACUAAGAACCUGAGAUUACCAGGAAGGCGGAGGACCAAGAAACCUAGAGGAAUGCUUUGAGAGAAGUGGAUUCUCUUCAUUGCCGUGUCUGUGACACAAGCUUGACCAUGUCUAUAAGUUUGCAGGCAGCAUCUCUAGGGUGAAAUCCUAGAAGCGGGAUUAAGGGAAGGAUCUUUCUGGACUGUGUGGUCUCAGCAGGAUCUUUCCUGUGCCCUCUAUGCUUCAUCUUUAGCUCUGCAGAGCAGCCAAGGCCAGCCCAUCCUCCCAGGGGCCCCAGGAGAAUAGCACUCUCCUCUCUCCCCCCAGGUGGCAGGGCAUCCCCUGACUGCACCUGCCCACUCCACUAGGAAGCUUGAGAACCUCUCUUCCUGACCCUCUCCUCCUCCAACCUUCGUCUCUAGGCAGUGGGACAAUCACCCCAUCCACCACUUGCAUCCUCUGCCCACAUCCCCCAACUUCCAGCAGGGCUGGCCCCGCUCCCCUCCACCUCUAGUUUUCUUCCAGAAGAUGCGGUUUUGGGUCCGGGAGGAACAUUUUUCUGGAAGGCUGUCUUUUCACCCCCCUGCUUUCCUGAUGUGGAGCAGGAACUUGCACAUGGUGUAGAGAGCUCCCCCCGCACCUCUCUGCCCACCUCGUUACCUCACUCCUGCUCCGGCCGUGGCUAUGACGGGCCCAGCCAGCUCCCUGUUCCGAUGUUCUGUGUGAAGCUCAGGGGUCUUGGGCAUUGUUUUCUGUUGUAACUCGAGGCCCUCAGCAGGCCUGGGAGCCCGGAUUGGAGCCUUGGCUGCUGGCGAGAAGCACCUUGCCUGCUAGGAGUUUGAUGCCGGAUGAUGUACCCGACAUGUGAAGGCGUAAAGGACGUUGUCACUUCUGCCCCUCAGCCCUGCCUACUUCUCUCAACACGAGGAGACGCUGCAGAAGCAAAAUGGGGGCCUCUGCUCCAGGCAGGAACAGCUGACUCCAUCUGGGGAGUAGGCCUGGGUGCCGCGCGCCAGGAUUGCUGAAUAAAAGCAGCCAUUGUUGCCAGCACCAGUGUGUGGCUCCCACGUUUCUCUGUCCUGCACUCCAGGGCCAGACCACUCUCUGCAUGGACGAUAUCAUCUUCCCAAACCCAUGGUGCUUUCCCCCUGACUCAACCUGGACUCCAAGGUGGGGAGGGAUGGGUCAGAGGCCACCACGGCCCCUGGAUAACCCUGACCUGGGGUGGAGUGGGGUGAGGCAGAGGGAGCAGCCCCCAACACCUGCACUGGGCCAUACAAGGGAAGGAAUGCAGGUUGAUUGCAGUCGAAUUCUCUGGCCAUUUGCAUUUGGAUCUGUAACUUACUUUGCCUGGCGCUGUGCGCAAGGUCUGAAAACUUACUGCUAGUACCUAGAAACAUUCAAGGCUUCCCGGUCCAAUCUUAAUGUAAAGUAGCUAGAGCCAUGGAAGUACAGUAUGAAUUAAAAGAAAAAAAUGCUGAACUACGAA